ACUUCCUAUUUCAAAGUUGUCUCCAUUAAAAUCUUCCAUCAAAAAUUACAUGUUAAUUUAUGUUCCAAACAUAAGCUUAAUUAUUUUACUAAAU